UUUUCGUGUUAUAAUAGGAUGGAUUUUAACAUUACUGCUAUUAGCAACUGUUAGUUUUGGAUCCCCUCUAAACAGACUAAAAAGCAGUGCCAAAGCGAAUCGUAUAUGCGUGACAAUUUACAUAGAUCCUGUCACCGGAAAGGAGAGGUUAAUCGGCCGAGGCUGCUAAUAAUAUCAAGUGAAUAAAAACUUAACACCAGA